rnacentral:miRNA from 1 species
GAAGAAAAGGCAAGUUGAAAGA